UACGGGGGGGGCAAGCGUUGUUCGGAAUUACUGGGCGUAAAGGGCUCGUAGGCGGCCAACUAAGUCAGACGUGGAAUCCCCAGGCUCAACCUGGGAACUGCGUCUGAUACUGGCUGGCUUGAAUUCGGGAGAGGGAUGCAGAAUUCCAGGUGUAGCGGUGAAAUGCGUAGAUAUCUGGAGGAAUACCGGUGGCGAAGGCGGCAUCCUGGACAGACAUUGACGCUGAGGAGCGAAAGCUAGGGGAGCAAACGGG
rnacentral:rRNA from 1 species